rnacentral:rRNA from 1 species
UACGGGGGGGGCAAGCGUUGUUCGGAAUUACUGGGCGUAAAGCGCACGUAGGCGGCUUUCUAAGUCGGGGGUGAAAUCCUGGAGCUCAACUCCAGAACUGCCUUCGAUACUGGAGAGCUUGAGUCCGGGAGAGGUGAGUGGAACUGCGAGUGUAGAGGUGAAAUUCGUAGAUAUUCGCAAGAACACCAGUGGCGAAGGCGGCUCACUGGCUCGUUACUGACGCUCAGGCACGACAGCGUGGGGAUCAAACAGG